UCGUCUCCUUCUCUCCUCCACUCCCCAUCGCGCCCCUCUCCUCAGCCGCCACCGCCAUCGCCGGGAGGGGCCGCCGCUCGCGUCGCUUUCCGCAGCCGCCACAGCCCCCUCCCCUUCCAAACCCACCGAGAUGACGGCGUCGGCACUGGCGCUCGCGGUGGUCGGGUGGCUUGCUCGCGCUCGCGAAGGCCGAGGUGGUCGCACUGCUCUGGGUCGUGCGCCGCCUCCAUCGCCGGCAGGAGGGGGGCGCAGAGGCCGCCGCGCAGCCCAGCGACCAGGAGCUCCCCGGUGAGCAGCCGUUCCGCUUCGCCCUCUGCCUCGCCCUCUUUGCCGUCCUCACUCCAUCCUCUUCUAUGUUUUCUGGAUUUGCCGUCGUCGCCUUCUCCGCUCCCAAGAUAGCCUCGCUCUCCUCCUUGGUGCCCAACGGGAGAGGCAGCGGACGAAAGUCGAUGACGCCGCCCCCCUCCUCCACGGCAGCGCCUUCGUCCCCGACGACACCCAGCAGCAGCUCACUCCCGGCCCAAAACGAGGUAGCGUUCCCAAAUGUGAAGCGACAACCCGCAGAAAGAUGAGCAGGAGCAGACCAGGGAUGAAGCCAAGAUCUACGAUGGUGAUUCUUCCAAUAAAAUGAUGCAGGUGGCCAACAGCUUGAUGGUGCCGUCGAUAUUGUCUCCUCCAGCGUCAAGGAACCAGCCAAAAACGUCAUCGUCAAGCAAGCGACGCUGAGCAAAUGUCAGGUGCCAUCACGCACCAUGGUGUGGCGAUCAGAUUGGCAACGUGUUCGAUGCAGCUUACAAUGCCAAUGAUCAGUUCAUUUUUGUGGAUUGUUGUGGGGGAUUGAGGCUUUAAAGCACAUGAAUUGCAGCAGGAAUUGUUCAGGAUACUACUGUUGUUGCUACUUGGUGCGUUACCAUCACCGGGAGGAGCGACGGCCAUCCACAUCGCCAUUGCCAUCGUCCUUCAGAUCAAGGAUGUGUAGGAAGUCGCGUCUUUAGGAGGUCUGAAUAUAUUAUUUGCUGUCACUGACAGACAUAGUAUGAUCGUUUGCUCCUUGGGAGAUGGUUUACGUCUUAACUGUCUACAACAAAAACGAUAAACAGCACCGCAUCCGGGUAACAAAGCCCGCAUCCGGGUACUAAUGUUGGUGUGAGCUCAAGGAAAAAGGCAAAACCCAUUUGUAGUUUCAGCUUUACGAGGCGUUGUCAGCAAUGAUUGAUGAGAUAAUUGGUUGAGCUACUUUUGGAAGGGGCGACGGAAAUCAUAAAAACUACGAUGGCUAUGGCGAUUCAACAUAUAGAAAGAUGGAAGAGAGCACACAGUAAAUAAAACAGAGCACAAAGCAGUAGCCUUUGGAGCAGGUUACAGUUUGCACUUGGUGUUAAAGGAUUUGGAGCAGGCUAUAUCUGUGAUGACACAGAUUGGUUAUGCAGGAUCUCUUGGCUAAAUCCUUCUGCUUUAUCAUGAGGACAACAAAUAGUAACAAAUAGUGGUUACUUCUCAUCUGAGCUUGAGCUGUGGUGAAUGCGACCGAUGUUUCUACGAAGAUGUAGUUCUUUUGGUUUAUCGACUAAUAUUAUCGUAUAUAGACGUGAUGCCUGAGGCGUUUUGAAUCAGUGUCGUAGCAGACUGCCCUAUCCUUAUUGUAAAUUAUGUGUGAUCACCGACAGUCCUUCAGGUCGAUUUACCACUCCAUGGUUAUUGUAAAUUAUGAACGAAUUAUGCUGUAGUUUUAGUAUUGGUUCUUUAAUCUUCUUCGGCUGCC